CGACAAUGGAGGAUCCACAGUUUCUGCAAAAACGGUGUAGAAAGUGGUAGAAAAUGAGAAAAGAUUAUGCUAAUAGAAUCGCUUGACAUGACUUUUUUGGAAGUGGUUUUAAUUAUGGUACAUGUCCCUUUGUAGGAUUGAGGAAGACGCCAUGCAUAAUCCUUGUUUUCAUGGGUUUUGAAUGUUUUGAAGUAUGGUGAAUGGUCCAUAGAGCAUGGUCACAUCGCCACAAUAAAAGCUGGCGCCGGCACAAUGGAUCCUUUGAUAGAUUCAACGAACGACGUCGCGUACUGUUCCUCAAACAACAACUUCUGAUAUGAUGUAAGAAUUUUGGACGUAAGAGUUGUCUG
rnacentral:lncRNA from 1 species